rnacentral:tRNA from 1 species
GCCAUGGCUCAGUGGAAGAUCUUCUGCUUGACAUGCAGAUGGUCCCAGGUUUGAUCCCCAGCAUCUCCA